rnacentral:rRNA from 1 species
AACCGGAUUAGAUACCCUGGUAGUCCAUGCCGUAAACGUUGGGCACUAGGUGUGGGGGACAUUCCACGUUUUCCGCGCCGUAGCUAACGCAUUAAGUGCCCCGCCUGGGGAGUACGGCCGCAAGGCUAAAACUCAAAGGAAUUGACGGGGGCCCGCACAAGCGGCGGAGCAUGCGGAUUAAUUCGAUGCAACGCGAAGAACCUUACCAAGGCUUGACAUGAACCGGAAUGAUGCAGAGAUGUGUCAGCCACUUGUGGCCGGUUUACAGGUGGUGCAUGGUUGUCGUCAGCUCGUGUCGUGAGACGUUGGGUUAAGUCCCGCAACGAGCGCAACCCUCGUUCCAUGUUGCCAGCGGGUUAUGCCGGGGACUCAUGGGAGACUGCCGGGGUCAACUCGGAGGAAGGUGGGGACGACGUCAAAUCAUCAUGCCCCUUAUGUCUUGGGCUUCACGCAUGCUACAAUGGCCGGUACAAAGGGUUGCGAUACUGUGAGGUGGAGCUAAUCCCAAAAAGCCGGU